CUCUACUGCUCAAGCAGCGCCUGAGUUUGCAGAACAUGCAAAGCUAGCUGCCAGAGCUGUUGUAGAACUUUCAAGGCAAUAUUGUGUUGAUAAUGGUGGUUCAUGCCACUUAGGUUUCAAUAUGGGCAAUCAUUUCCUGGAGAUGGUAAUGGUAAUUGUUCUGUUGGCAGGCAGAAUUGGAACAUGAAAUUUAUGAUGCUACCUCUGCUGCUCACGCAACGGUUGAGUUUGCAGAAUAUGCAGCCUAGUUGCCAGAGAUGUUAUAGAACUUUCAAGGCAAUAUUGUGUUGAUGAUGGUAGUUCAUGGCACUUAGGUUUCAAGGUUGAAGGGUUGGAACAUGGGCAAUCAUUUCCUGGAGAUGGUAAUGGUAAUGUUUCUGUUGGCAGGUAGAAUCGGAACAUGAAAUUUAAGGAUGCUACCUCUGAUGCUCAAGCAGCGGCUGAGUUUGCAGAACAUGCAAGCCCAGCUGCCAGAGUUGUUGUAGAACUUUCAAGGCAAUAUUAUGUUGAUGAUGGUAGUUCAUGCCACUUAGGUUUCAAGGAUGAAAGAUUGGAACAUGGGCAAUCAUUUCCUGGAGGUGGUAGUAGUAAUUUUUCUGUUGGCAGGCAGAAUUGGAACAUGAAAUUUAAGGAUGCUACCUCUGCUGCUCAAGCAGCAGCUAAGUUUGCAGAACAUGCAAGCCUAGCUUCCAGAGCUGUUGUAGAACUUUCAAGGCAAUAUU
rnacentral:lncRNA from 1 species